CGGGAUUUGUAGUUUCGGGGCGUCCCCGGCGUGCACCACGCGGGCAGGGUGCUAUAGUGGCUCAUGUCAUAAUCGCGAGGCGUCACGGGAGCUGUAGUUUCUGGACGCCCCGGCUCGCCGAACAGAUCGCUGGGAGCAAAGGGGCUUUGCAGGAGGAGCGUCCCGGUCCGUAAUGGCCUGGGUUCGCGUCUCGAUUUGUGCUUUGUGCGCGCUCCGUGUGGCGCUGGCCACUGUGUUCUUCCAGGAGGAGUUUCUGGACGGAGGUGACGGGCGACGCCUGGGCGGGCGGAGCUUCGCGCCCCCCUGCCCUCGCCCCCAUUUACCCCCGGAGCGCUGACCGGUGUUGUCCCCGCAGAACACUGCAGGAACCGCUGGGUGCCGUCCAACGACUCCCGGCUCGGCCACUUCCGACUCUCGUCGGGGAAGUUCUAUGGUCACAAAGAGAAGGACAAAGGUCUGCAGACCACGCAGAACAGCCACUUCUAUGCCAUCUCCGCUCGCUUCAAGCCAUUCAGCAACAAGGGCCGGACGCUGGUGCUCCAGUACACGGUGAAGCAUGAACAGAAGGUGGACUGCAGCGGUGGCUACGUGAAGGUCUUCCCAGCCGACCUGGACCAGAGGGGCCUGAACGCCAGGUCCCCGUACUACAUCAUGUUCGGUGCGUCCCACCUUCAAGGCUUGGCUCACUGCCCGGCCAUGCAGCAAGGGGCUCUGACCCCAGGUGUCCAUGCUGUGUGAUCUGCCCGUGGGGCUCGGCACCCCUAAUCCGAACCUGACACCAAGGAGCUCUCAAACCCGGAACUUUGUCUUCGAUGCGGGGGAUGAAGCCCGGGCCUGGGACAGGUUAGGCCAGCACCCCGGCCCUGGGGUGUUUUCAGUGCCAACAUGACACUCCGAAAAUGGACAUCUCAGCUGGGCCUGGUGGCCACGCCUGGGAUCCCAGCACCCUGGUAGGCUGAGGCAGGAGGAUCGCAAGGGACCUGAUAUCUGUGGAUUUGAUCUCAAGAAAGUUCAUGUUAUUUUACAAUUCAAGAAUGAGUAUCAUGCAAACAAGAAAUCGAUCAAGUGUAAGGGCCCGGAGAAGGAGAUGGAUGACAUCCUGAUCAAGGAGGAGGUGACCAGAGCCCGCGAGGAGGAGGAGGAGGAGCUGCCGGCGGGCAGGUUCCACGGGGCUCAGGGGCCCUUCCCUGAGUUUCAGAGGCAGAACGAGCUGUAGUUCUCCCUGCUGCGGAGGGCAGAGGUGACUGGGGCCUGGCGUGGUGGUGCACGCCUAUGACCUCAGCACUGUGGAGGCUGCGGCAGGAGGAUCGCCUUGAGUUCCGGGCCAGCCUGGGUUACACAGUGAGUUUGAGUUUAAGGCAGCCUGAACUAUACGGGGAGACCCUGUCUCACUGUCCUGCCCCCCCCCCCCGCAAAAGAAAAGAAAAGAAAACCGUCCCCAGGCUCCUUAGUGGGGUGGGUUGCAUGUCUCCCCAAGACACCUACACUGGAAGGUUCCCUCCACGGAUCUGCACAGCAAAGACACAGCGC
rnacentral:lncRNA from 1 species